rnacentral:rRNA from 1 species
UACGUAGGGGGCGAGCGUUACCCGGAUUUACUGGGCGUAAAGCGCGUGUAGGCGGCUGGUCAAGCGUGGUGUGAAAUCUCCGGGCUCAACCCGGAAACUGCAUUGCGAACUGACCUGGCUGGAGUGCAGGAGAGGGCAGCGGAAUUCCCGGUGUAGCGGUGAAAUGCGGUAGAUAGCGGAAGAACACCAGUGGCGAAGGCGGCUGCCUGGCCUGUAACUGACGCUGAGACGCGAAAGCGUGGGGAGCGAACCGG